GAGUUUGAUCGUGGCUCAGGAUAAACGCUGGCGGCGCUCAUAAGACAUGCAAGUCGAACGGAAGUCGUUAUAAAUGAAAUGAAGAUUUAUCUGAAUGAAGUUUGUAACAAUGGCUUUAGUGGCGGACUGGUGAGUAACGCGUAAGGAAUCUACCUAUUAGAGGGGAAUAACAAUGAGAAAUCAUUGCUAAUACCGCAUAUGCCAUAGAGAAGGCAUCUUCACAGUGGGAAAGGAGAAAUCCGCUAAUAGAUGAUCUUGCGUCUGAUUAGUUAGUUGGUGGGGUAACGGCCUACCAAGACGACGAUCAGUAGCCGGACUGAGAGGUUUGAACGGCCACAUUGGGGCUGAGAUACGGGCCCAGACUCCUACGGGAGGCAGCAGUCGGGAUAUUGCGCAAUGGAGAAACUCUGACGCAGUGACGCCGCGUA
rnacentral:rRNA from 1 species